rnacentral:rRNA from 1 species
GAUGAACGCUGGCGGCGUGCCUAAUACAUGCAAGUCGAGCGAACGGACGAGAAGCUUGCUUCUCUGAUGUUAGCGGCGGACGGGUGAGUAACACGUGGAUAACCUACCUAUAAGACUGGGAUAACUUCGGGAAACCGGAGCUAAUACCGGAUAAUAUUUUGAACCGCAUGGUUCAAAAGUGAAAGACGGUCUUGCUGUCACUUAUAGAUGGAUCCGAGCUGCAUUAGCUAGUUGGUAAGGUAACGGCUUAUCAAGGCAACGAUGCAUAGCCGAGCUGAGAGAGUGAUCGGCCACACUGGAACUGAGACACGGUCCAGACUCCUACGGGAGGCAGCAGUAGGGAAUCUUCCGCAAUGGGCGAGAGCCUGACGGAGCAACGCCGCGUGAGUGAUGAAGGUCUUCGGAUCGUAAAACUCUGUUAUUAGGGAAGAACAUAUGUGUAAGUAACUGUGCACAUCUUGACGGUACCUAAUCAGAAAGCCACGGCUAACUACGUG